GAUUGGGGGAAGGAAGAGAGCUUUCCAAAUAGGGGUCUUGCCUCCUCCUGGUGAUGAGCGAAAAACUGGGGAUCUGACAAAUGAAUAAAUCCAAGCCUCCUGCCGCACCAGCCCUCCCCAUCCCUACUACCUCACUUCGCCUCCUUACCGAACACACUGCUUUGUUUUCUGAAGAAAACGGUCCCAUGGAGUCCUGUGUUUACAAGACCAGAAAUGCCACUGUCGCGUCCCUCUAGUGAGAAAGGCUGAAAUGGAGGACUGUCGCCUUCCUUAUAAGCUUCUUGGAGACUGAACCAGCGCCAAUCUGAUAGAGAAGGCAGCCACGAACCAAGAGAGAAAAAGAGAGAGAGAGACCCUGAGGAGGGAAGAAAGCGCCAGUCUAUGAAAGGGCACCACAGGCAGAGAAAUACACGGAAAAGAGCCAGUGGCAGGUCCUUGAACCAAUGCGGCAGAGGGCACUUACCCAAAGAGGUUUAUGUAUUAUCGCCUUUUUAAAAUCUGAUUUGGGGCUCUAUGAAGAAAAGGGAGAAUUCAGGCCAUGGGAGCAGAAAGAGAAUUAAUUGUCGGCUCCUAGCUCUCAGCGUGAACGACAGAGAGGCUCAAGAGCCCGAGUGGGCGGCAGAGCGGCGCGGGUCAGGCGCCGUCCCACACAGGGCGGGUUGGGCCCGAACCCCCCUGGAACACCCGGCUCCCCUUAUCAUCUCCAUCUUUAUGACGAGCCUUGUUAACAAGACCAGCGAGCUGGCCACGCACAUCUAUCUCCACCGCGCGCGCUCAGCCGA